UACAGAGGUCUCGAGCGUUAGGCGGAAUCACUGGGCUUAAAGCGUGUGUAGGCGGGGCGUUAAGUGCCUUGUGAAAUCCCAUGGCUCAACCAUGGAACUGCUGGGCAUACUGGCGAUCUUGUGCCACCUAGGGGCGAGCGGAACAGAUGGUGGAGCGGUGAAAUGCGUAGAUAUCAUCUGGAACGCCAAUGGUGAAAACAGCUCGCUGGGGGUGUGCAGACGCUGAGACACGAAAGCCAGGGGAGCGAACGGG
rnacentral:rRNA from 1 species